UUUGUAAAUCAAGAUGAUAUAUUAAAUGAUGAUCUUUGCAGGAAUGAGAGCCAGAAAGAGUCGAAACUUAAGGAAAUAGUUUGCAGCAUCCACCAGAUGAACUGCAAACCACUACAGGAAGUACAGAAACCAGUUGCACCACUUCAGAAUGGAGUACAGACCACCCCUGCGCAAGAAGAGGCAUCUGAAAGCCUCUCAGGCGCGCCCAUUCAGCUUCCCAUGCAAAUUAGCUCUCUUCCGCCUCCCUUUCAGCCAAGUCCUGCGCAAAAGGAAGCUUCUGAAUCCAGUUCUGCGCCAUCUCCUUUGCAGUCAAGUCUUGCACAGAAGGAGACUUCUGAAACCACCUCUGCGCAGACACCUUUGCAACAUCUCUCAGAAUCUGAAGAAUAUAAAAAUGACCACCUUGAACAAAUCUUCCUUGCCC
rnacentral:lncRNA from 1 species